rnacentral:rRNA from 1 species
AGCGGCGAACGGGUGAGUAACACGUGGGCAACCUGCCCCAGAGACUGGGAUAACAGCCCGAAAGGGCUGCUAAUACCGGAUAACGUACGGCCUGCCAAGUGGGCCGUACCAAAUGGUAGCCUCGGCUUCUGCUCUGGGAUGGGCCCGCGGCGGAUUAGCUUGUUGGUGAGGUAACGGCUCACCAAGGCGACGAUCCGUAGCUGGUCUGAGAGGACGAUCAGCCACACUGGGACUGAGACACGGCCCAGACUCCUACGGGAGGCAGCAGUGGGGAAUCUUGCGCAAUGGGCGAAAGCCUGACGCAGCAACGCCGCGUGAGCGAAGAAGGCCUUCGGGUUGUAAAGCUCUGUCAGGAGGGACGAAGCCACUCGGGUGAAUAGCCCAGAGGGUGACGGUACCUCCAGAGGAAGCCCCGGCUAACUACGUGCCAGCAGCCGCGGUAAUACGUAGGGGGCGAGCGUUGUCCGGAAUCAUUGGGCGUAAAGCGCGUGUAGGCGGCUCGGCAAGUCCGGUGUGAAAGCUCGAGGCUCAACCUCGAGUCUGCAUCGGAAACUGCCUUGCUAGAGUCCGGAAGAGGAGACUGGAAUUCCUGGUGUAGCGGUGAAAUGCGCAGAUAUCAGGAAGAACACCGGUGGCGAAGGCGGGUCUCUGGGACGGUACUGACGCUGAGACGCGAAAGCGUGGGGAGCAAACAGGAUUA